AAUGGAACAACCACAGGAGAGGUUUGGAAACUUAGUUAUCAAAUCCAAUGCAGAAGUUGAAAAUUUCCGUCAAAGGAUUUACAACAAAGUUUCUACUACAAAAAAGAAACAGAUGUGUGGGGGAUCGGCUUUUAAGGCCGCAAGAGAAGACUCCAAUGAACAAAAGAAAUAUGACUGGGCUCGUCGUUAGCUCUUGCAAGCACUGCGUUGUACCAUACGCAAUUAACAUGUUUAAAGGUGAAUCGUGGACCCAUACUGCAUUUAUGCACAAGGAAGCCAUGAAAAGUAACGCCAAAUUCUUCUGCUACGAUGUGGUAUGCCAAUACUGGAAAUGGAUGAAAACAUAAGUAGCUGGUCAUUUUCCUGAAUACAGUAAUCUAACAAGUGAAAUGACAGGAAUCUUGCCUAUCAUGCAUAAGAAUGCACAUCAAUUGCCAUGCAAGAUUUUAUGGAAUCCCCGCUGGACAACUGGAAUAGACUUAACUGGAGGAGAAGAGCACGAACAAGUUUUCUCAAAAUUGUAUCUAUAUACUUAUGUGCUAAAGCAUAUGGCCAAACAUAACAGAAACGAUUUUUUAACAUUAGCUAUUCUUUAUUGGAACUGGGGUAAAAUUUAAAAUAUGCAUUUCCUUCUACGCAGAAAGCUAGAAAAAG